AUUGAACGCUGGCGGAAUGCUUUACACAUGCAAGUCGAACGGCAGCACGGGGGCAACCCUGGUGGCGAGUGGCGAACGGGUGAGUAAUACAUCGGAACGUGCCCAGUCGUGGGGGAUAACGUAGCGAAAGUUACGCUAAUACCGCAUACGAUCUACGGAUGAAAGCGGGGGACCGUAAGGCCUCGCGCGAUUGGGGCGGCCGAUGUCAGAUUAGGUAGUUGGUGAGGUAAAGGCUCACCAAGCCGACGAUCUGUAGCUGGUCUGAGAGGACGACCAGCCACACUGGGACUGAGAAACGGCCCAGACUCCUACGGGAGGCAGCAGUGGGGAAUUUUGGACAAUGGGCGCAAGCCUGAUCCAGCCAUUCCGCGUGCAGGACGAAGGCCUUCGGGUUGUAAACUGCUUUUGUACGGAACGAAAAGGCUCUGGUUAAUACCUGGGGCUCAUGACGGUACCGUAAGAAUAAGCACCAGCUAACUACGUGCCAGCCGCCGCGGUAA
rnacentral:rRNA from 1 species